rnacentral:rRNA from 1 species
GACGAACGCUGGCGGCGUGCUUAACACAUGCAAGUCGAACGGAAAGGCCCCUUUGGGGGUACUCGAGUGGCGAACGGGUGAGUAACACGUGAGUAACCUGCCCUUGACUUCGGGAUAACUUCAGGAAACUGGGGCUAAUACCGGAUAGGAAUCCUUGCUGCAUGGUGGGGGUUGGAAAGCUUCGGCGGGUUUGGAUGGACUCGCGGCUUAUCAGCUUGUUGGUGGGGUAGUGGCUUACCAAGGCUUUGUCGGGUAGCCGGCCUGAGAGGGCGACCGGCCACAUUGGGACUGAGAUACGGCCCAGACUCCUACGGGAGGCAGCAGUGGGGAAUAUUGCACAAGGGGCGGAAGCCUGAUGCAGCAACGCCGCGUGCGGGAUGACGGCCUUCGGGUUGUAAACCGCUUUCAGCAGGGGCGAAGCUUGUGGUGACGGUACCUGCAGAAGAAGCACCGGCUAACUACGUG